GAUCAUGGCUCAGGAUGAACGCUAGCUACAGGCUUAACACAUGCAAGUCAAGGGGAAACGACAUCGAAAGCUUGCUUUUGAUGGGCGUCGACCGGCGCACGGGUGAGUAACGCGUAUCCAACCUGCCCAUCACUUGGGAAUAACCUUGCGAAAGUAAGACUAAUGCCCAAUGACAUCCCACGAAGGCAUCCGAAUGGGAUUAAAGAUUUAUCGGUGUACGAUGGGGACGCGUUCCAUUAGGUAG
rnacentral:rRNA from 1 species